rnacentral:misc_RNA from 1 species
UUAAGUUCAGCGGGUAUUCCUACCUGAUCCGAGGUCAACCUUUGGUACGUGGGGGGUUUUACGGCAGGCGCCCGCCGCGCUCCCGGAGCGAGAGGUAUGCUACUACGCUCGGUUGCGACAGCGAGCCCGCCACUGGAUCAGGCCUGCGGCAGCCGCAGGUCCCCAACACAAGCCGGGGGCUUGAUGGUUGAAAUGACGCU